UCCCGCGAGUACUCUUCAAAUAAAGGUUUAAAAAUGCUAAAAGCACAUCUAGGUUUUUUACUUUUGCGUUAUAUCACACGUAAAACCUUUGUAAGAAAAUACGUAUUAUAAGUUCCUGUAUGCAAUCAGUUUUAGCAUUUAACUGAAUAUUUAUAUUUAACUUCAAAGGGAAAAUCUUAUUCACAUUGAAUAAAAAGCAAGGUCAUCUUUCUUGACAUCGUCUGACGGUCAGAAGGAGAUUAGAAAAUCGUCGAAGUAGUGUAAGCAAAACCUAUUGAUCCAAGUAUAUUAGGUACUGUGAAAUCAUUUAAUUUCGUGGGCAUGAAAUUUCGUGGUUUUUGUCAAAUUGGCAAUUUCGUGGGGAUGUGAAUUCGUGGAUUUCCACUUUUGAACAUAAAAUGAAUGGGAAUUUUACUUGUUCGUUGGGAUUAAAUUUCGUGGAUUGACUCAACCGCGAAAUCCACGAAAAUUAGUCCCCCACGAAUAUUAAUGAUUUCACAGUAAUUCAAAGGCUGUAUAUUAAAACUUUUGUAUAGCAUGUGUAGACAACAAUUUUCAAUGCCAGAUAAAUUGUCAUUUUAUCUGUCUAAAGUUUUUAAGUGGCUAUAUGGUAUUUCUGCGAUUGUUGUAAAAGUCUGAUUACAUAUCAACUAAUCUUUAUACAAUUAUAUGUAAAUACAUUUGUAUUGUGAAACAUGCAUUAAGAUCUACACCAAAGUUAUUGUGCGAGUUUGUUAACUCAAUAUUUCUGCAUAGAAGAACGGUAUAAAGCUUGUAUCACUUUAAUUAGAUGCAUUUAAAUUGAAUGAAUGAUGUUUCACGAACAGAUAUUGUAAUUUAACACAUCAGUAUAGAAAACUACAGACAUUUGGCGAUCCUAUUGUAAGCAGGAAACGUUCUCCUAACGAUAGAAGGAAAGCAACGAAGAAGAUGAAAACGAAUCUAGUAUGUGAAUGGCGAACGGCCUAGAUGCCAGAACAAUCAACUACAUUUGUAUGGUAUUUCACGGUCAGAGAUCUGUUGUCAUCAAAACCGUACGGCAAGGCCUUUCGGAUUGGAUUAAGUAACAUUACAGAUGACUGUGAACAAAUAAUGUCAGUGGUUUUUGAUACAGACGGAAUAUUGAAGCCAGGCUGCAAGAACUACUGAUUUUAUCCCAAAUAAAUGGUGAAAGUCUGCACUCAUAAAAGAACUGCAUGUAAGAUGGAUUGACUGUGGCUCUGACUGUGUUUGACAAAGCUAAAGGAAUUGCUGUUUGUUCCACUUUUUCAACAAAGAUGGGAGAGGAAGAACUAGGACCCGCACUGUGUCUGCUAAGGAUGGGCGCCUUAGCGGUAUGAACAACCCUCCACAAGUCGGCAGGAUGGUUUCCUCGCAAUAACAAAUUAUACUAAUAAAAACAGAAAACUUCUAUAAUUAGCGAACAAUAAUGCCUGUCUGCUCUCAGUAGAUAAAUUUUAAAUGAUAAUGUUAUGACGAGUUUUCUAAAAUCAUAAUUUUGACACUUGUUUUAUGUCAUUUGUGAUUGUAUAAAAAAGUCUGAGUCUUUUA
rnacentral:lncRNA from 1 species